GGAGUUGUGGCUUACCGGUAGAGCGUUCAUCUAGCACAUGCGAAGUCCUGGGUUCGAUCCUCAGCACCA
rnacentral:tRNA from 1 species